AAAUUAAAUUCCAUGGUUUUUUAGAAAUGAUUUCACGAUAGUAGGAGCGAGUACGAAGCUUGGAAAAGUUGUGGAAUUAGUUCGAACGAUUUUAUUUUCGAAAACGAACGUUUUUAGGGGGUCAACAAAGUUGACUUUUUAUACGUUCAAAAUUUGGGAAAACUUCCUUCAUGAAAGUUGUAGAGCUCGUCGAUACGAGUUCGUGGACAUGUGGAACGCAUUAUUUGGAGUUCGUAUGAAUAAGUUAUGAAUAUUUUAAAAUUGAGAAUUUUCUAUAAAUACAAAAAAUCAGAUUUCUCAAUAAGGAAACCCGAAAAUUUCCAGAUUUUUCUCCUCCUCGCUGCCUUGGCUUCACGGCGUCGCCACGACUUCAUCCGGCCACCUAUGGCCAUGAAAUUGAUAUCAAUCUCUUCGCCUUGAAACCAGCUUUCCAUUCAUAUAUGUCUUGCAUCCUAUCAUUCACCAUAGACAACGAAUCGAAGCAAAGAAGGUCAGACCAUUUUUCAUGCAUUUCUUCAAAUUCCAGCCAACUCCGGCAAAGGUAGGAGGGGAGACCAACUGGGCUUUGUUCGCCUUGCCAUGCUCUAUAAACUCACCAAGUUUCACAUCUCGAUUCAACCCGAGGAAGACGAAUUUCAGAUUUGAGCGAUUUUGGGCGAUUUCGGCCUCUUUCUUCUUGAGGUGAUUGGCGGAUUGAUUUGGCGGACGAUUCGUAAAAUCGUUGUUGAGCUGUUUAGAAGACGCAGCGGGAUUAUCGAGCGGGUAAUCCUACAGGACAGGAGAACCAGGACGGUGACCGUGCGGUUAGAGCAAUUGUUAGAGUUUUACAGCAAUUGUAAGUUGUGAGGUGUGUUAUGCUCAUUUAGAGCUUUACAAUAUUGCUUGUGAGAGUGAAUUGUAAUAAUGAACUCGAGGUUUCGAGAUUUGGAGUUUGUGUACCUUGUGGUGAGAUUAUAUUGAGAAAAAAAUUCAGAACGUUUAUUUGAUUAAGUGGUUUAAUUCAUGUUUCGGAUUUGAAUUUAUUAUUCAAAAUUCGGGGCGUGACAGUUUGGUAUCAGAGCGUAAGGUGCAUAUUUGGUGAUGUGUCAAUACCUUCCGAGUGAUGGCCCGUCUGCAGCGGAUCCCCAUCGUGUGCUCUUUGGUAUUGGCUAAGUCAUUGGGUAUGCGUGAGUGUUGGGAGUUGUUUAGGCCGCUAGGUCGUUUAGGGAACGUGAAUACAUUCCCUAUAGUAUUGACUUGGUUAAUAUGAAUUUGUAUUUGACUUAUACUGUGUUUUAAGUGUUAUACAUGUAUUAGCCAAGCAUACUAUACUCCUUAGGUGAUGGAGAUUCGAAGGGGUUGUACUUAGAACCUUACAGUUGUCUUGUAGGUUCGUAUUGGAAUAAGUUCAGUGGCCGCGAGUUACAAUCCUUGAGGAAUAGGAACCUCUUGAUUCAACUCUGUUAAGUCAACGAGGAUUGUUGUAUGGAAGUGAGGUUCUUUUGGAUGUUGAAGUGUUUGGUUGAAGGCAUGAUGUGGACCUAUGCACGUACCUAGUGUGGA